AUUGAACGCUGGCGGCAGGCUUGACACAUGCAAGUCGAGCGGAGAUGAGGUGCUUGCACCUUAUCUUAGCGGCGGACGGGUGAGUAAUGCUUAGGAAUCUGCCUAUUAGUGGGGGACAACAUUCCGAAAGGAAUGCUAAUACCGCAUACGCCCUACGGGGGAAAGCAGGGGAUCUUCGGACCUUGCGCUAAUAGAUGAGCCUAAGUCGGAUUAGCUAGUUGGUGGGGUAAAGGCCUACCAAGGCGACGAUCUGUAGCGGGUCUGAGAGGAUGAUCCGCCACACUGGGACUGAGACACGGCCCAGACUCCUACGGGAGGCAGCAGUGGGGAAUAUUGGACAAUGGGCGGAAGCCUGAUCCAGCCAUGCCGCGUGUGUGAAGAAGGCCUUUUGGUUGUAAAGCACUUUAAGCGAGGAGGAGGCUACCUGGAUUAAUACUCUAGGAUAGUGGACGUUACUCGCAGAAUAAGCACCGGCUAACUCCGUGCCAGCCGCCGCGGUAACAC
rnacentral:rRNA from 1 species